rnacentral:rRNA from 3 species
CAAUAGCGUAUAUUAAAGUUGUUGCAGUUAAAAAGCUCGUAGUUGGAUCUCGGGAGAGGGCCGGCGGUCCGCCUCGCGGCGGUUUCACUGCCGACGCCCUCCUCCCACCUCGCCGGUCCCUCCCCGGUGCCCUUCGUUGAGUGUCGGGGUGGGCCGGAGCGUUUACUUUGAAAAAAUUAGAGUGUUCAAAGCAGGCCUCGAGCUUGUAUACCGUUGCAUGGAAUAAUGGAAUAGGACCUCGGUUCUAUUUUGUUGGUUUUCGGAACGCGAGGUAAUGAUUAAUAGGGACCGACGGGGGCAUUUGUAUUGCGCGGUUAGAGGUGAAAUUCUUGGAUCCGUGCAAGACAGACUACAGCGAAGGCGUCUGCCAAGCACGUCUUCUUUAAUCAAGAGCGACAGUCAGAGGUU